GGGAGGCAGCAGUGGGGAAUAUUGCACAAUGGGGGAAACCCUGAUGCAGCAACGCCGCGUGAGGAAGAAGUAUUUCGGUAUGUAAAGCUCUAUCAGCAGGAAAGAAAAUGACGGUACCUGACUAAGAAGCCCCGGCUAACUACGUGCCAGCAGCCGCGGUAAUACGUAGGGGGCAAGCGUUAUCCGGAUUUACUGGGUGUAAAGGGAGCGUAGACGGUUUUGCAAGUCUGAAGUGAAAGCCCGGGGCUUAACCCGGGACUGCUUUGGAAACUGUAGGACUAGAGUGCAGGAGAGGUAAGUGGAAUUCCUAGUGUAGCGGUGAAAUGCGUAGAUAUUAGGAGG
rnacentral:rRNA from 1 species